rnacentral:rRNA from 1 species
UACGGAGGGUGCAAGCGUUGUUCGGAAUCACUGGGCGUAAAGCGCGUGUAGGUGGUCUUUUAAGUCUGGUGUGAAAUCCCACGGCUUACCCGUGGAACGGUCCGGCAUACUGCGGUGCUAGAGGAUGGUAGAGGAGAGCGGAACUCUUGGUGGAGCGGUGAAAUGCGUAGAUAUCAAGAGGAACACCGGUGGCGAAGGCGGCUCUCUGGUCCAUGUCUGACGCUGAGGUACGAAAGCCAGGGGAGCAAACGGG